rnacentral:rRNA from 1 species
GACGAACGCUGGCGGCGUGCCUAAUACAUGCAAGUUGAGCGCUGAAGGCUGGUACUUGUACCAACUGGAUGAGCAGCGAACGGGUGAGUAACGCGUGGGGAAUCUGCCUUUGAGCGGGGGACAACAUUUGGAAACGAAUGCUAAUACCGCAUAAAAACUUUAAACACAAGUUUUAAGUUUGAAAGAUGCAAUUGCAUCACUCAAAGAUGAUCCCGCGUUGUAUUAGCUAGUUGGUGAGGUAAAGGCUCACCAAGGCGAUGAUACAUAGCCGACCUGAGAGGGGGAGCGGCCACGUUGGGACGGAGACACGGCCCAAACUCCUACGGGAGGCAGCAGUAGGGAAUCUUCGGCGAUGGACGAAAGUCUGACCGAGCAACGCCGCGUGAGUGAAGAAGGUUUUCGUAUCGUAAAACUCUGUUGGUAGAGAAGAACGUUGGUGAGAGUGGAAAGCUCAUCAAGUGACGGUAACUACCCAGAAAGGGACGGCUAACUACGUG